CUAAACCUAACCACCUGUAACCCUAUGCUGGGAUGACCCUAGACCCCAAACUCAACCCUCUCUCUCUUUCUCUCUCUCCCUCUCUCUCCCUCUCCUUUGCUCUCUCUCUCUCUCCCUCUCUCUUUUGCUUGUCCUCUUUCCAUCCCCUCUCCUCUCCUCCCCCCUCCCUCUCUUCCCCAUCUCCCCUCCCUCCCUCAUCUGGAGGCCUCAUACCCAGGAUGCUAAAAUAAUCCCUUUUUCGGGGCUUCACGUGAGGGACAUGGUUCCUUGAACCGGGAGCAAGGAUGGCCUGCGCAUUGGUGCCCGAUUGCCGUAGCCCCCAUUUUGUUUUUUCCUAACCGGCCCGUGCCCCUUGUCGACCCACUCUGGGGACCCUCUGUCUUUACACUGAAACACUCUGUAUGUGUAUAUACUCUAUGAUUGUACAUAUCAUCAACGUGAUUCUAUUUGUGAUGAUUUUUCUUUGACCCUCAUAUGGAGGUUGAUUUGUUGUGAAAACGAUAUAUGUUUCUGUUCACAAGUUAAGGUCAUUCUGUAUGUAUAUAUUUCUACCUAUUCAUAUCAUCAACAUUAUGCUAUUUGUGAUGGUGUUCCUUUAACUCUCAUAUGUAGAGUAACUUGUUGUGAAAACUGUACAUAUCUCUCUUGACAAAUCAUUGUACUUCAAGAUGUCCCUGAACGCAGCACACGGGCAAACAACCAACCAAUUCGAACUUUCUUAAAGGGACCUCUGACGCACGGAGCAUGAACUCCUCUCAUUGGUUGUUGAGACCCGCAGAAUUUGAAAAUGGACUUGCGCAGUGUACACACCUGCGAAAUAGAUUGUAUCCAUUUAUUGUUACACUGUCCUCAUUUUCUGAGCAAGCCAGCCUGAAGAAGGUUCAUGCGAACCGAAACGUCGCGUUUUUGGCUUGCGCUUAUGUAUUAUUGUUCGCUUUUAUUUUUUGUAUUGCGCGAAAAUAAAAGCGCUCAGUUAUUAUACGAGUAAACGUGAGUGUCAUUCAUUUGCGCACAGCGGCUUAGUGCUACUAGUACAGUCACCAGUGACCAGAUAGUGUAGCUAAAGCCACAGGUGAGACCGCAAACAUGCCCACGUUUGCAGCGGAUGACCAGUGGACCGUUGUCCGACGCCGCAGAGACCGGAGAGGAGGUCGCGCCUUCACGAGCGGCCGGAGAUCGCCCCGACGGACCAGCUACCCGUCCCUCAACGGACGCCGGACCUACGCCUCGGUGGUCAGAGGACGUGACUACCGCGAUGGGAGAGAAGUCCCUCACGCAUGGCAACGGAACCAGAGGAGAGAGCGGCCGGCCCCGGACCGCUAUGCUGCCCGCCACCGGGAUCGGACCGAACGUGAGCAGCGCUUUGAACGGAGACCAGCGCAGGAUAGACGGUAUGUGAAGCACGUCAGGUCUGAACGAACUGAGCCUCCCAAAAACAAAAUACCGUCUGAUGAUCCGGACUUUUCCGCCAAGGUCCGAAUUAUUCACAGACUCAUCAAAUCAGUGCACCAUCUUAAAAAUGUUUCAAAGGACGCAUAUCCGCCCUCUUUGAACAAAAUAGCCCAGAACUUAAUGACUGUGAUUAAACCAGCUGUCCCCAAGAGACAGACACAGACUCUUAUUGAGGGGAAUGCUAAAAACUGGGCACACACUGCUAUUUUAAUCCUCCACCAGCAUUAUUCUGAGGCUAUAGAGGAGGAAUUAAAAAGCCCUUUUGAGUUCCCCAAACAGGACUGGAAGAGGACCCUUUGAAGUGGCGACAUCUUGGGCCAAAAGGAACCUGGGCCGCCGCCUCCAGCCCGAAUCAUUGGAGCAGACCCAGGCAGUCAUCGUGGCGAAACUGGCAGACCUGAGGGCAGACACCAGACCGGCAGAGCGGGGCCACACAGCCAGCGAGCCGGCACGACAACCAGAGGUGAGCGAGGAUCUAAUACAACUCGACUCUAUCGAACCUCUUGAUGAGGUACUGCAGCCAGUUCCUUCGCACGUGCGACCCGCCACACCACAACCCAGCACCAGCCGGGCCACAACGGUUACUGCGCAGAUCCAUGCUCCACCUGCAGUGUGCACUGUAACCAUGGCGACAGCGGCCACCAUGACGGACCCCGUUAGAGGUGACUGGUCACCCUUUAUAGAGAGAGAGGUGGAAGAGGACGGCGACCGGAUGCCCACCACCCCCCGUGAAGAUUCUCCGGAACCAGAGCCCGAGCCAACGUCACCAAAAGGCCAGAGGGUGAGAAGAGUCCUGCCCGCGCUCCAGGUGACUUCCACUGGGGAGAAGUCAUCUCCGCCCACUCAGCCUCCACAGCCUUCGGAGGACAUGGAGAUCGAGGUACUGGACCUCACGCAGGGGGAAUCCACCCCCACCAAAUCCAAGGAAGGCAGAAGAACAGCGCCCGAACCUCCGACGGCUUCACACUCCAGCCAGCCACGCACCAUUCCGGACAGGCUGAAAUCCAGCGUGCAGACCCGCCUACAGACGAGGAGAAUUGAGGAAUCCUCCUUUUCUCCUCCCUCUUCACCAGCUUCACCGGGUCGACGAGCGCACGUUCUAACGAGACACCACAACACGCAGAGGAAACUGCAAGAGUGGAGUCUUCACAUCAGGUCUGGACAAUCACAUCCCUGCUCUUCCUGCUUCAAUGUUUGACACAGCAAAGGACAACAUCCAUUGGACUGAUAAAGCAGCAAAGUGUAUGUUGAACCACUGGGAUGACUAUGUAAAUGUGGCGUCCCCAUAAGCCCAGCGAAAAGGGAGGGG